AGGCUAUGUACAUAAACUCGAAACAAAACAUCUACCUGCAGUAGGGGGCCUCUAGCUCUGCUCGUCGGGUAGGGCUCUAACUUGCGACGCCCUUGCCUCGAUCCUGAUCCGCGGAAAGUGCAGCAGCCGAAACCUGUGGCUCUGCAAAAACAGGAGUAACAACUGGGCGUGAGAACUACUGUAAAAACAAGUAGUCCUCAGUGGGUACCGCCCAAAACAACAUCGGUCCACCCACUAAGUCUCCAGAAGGGAGCAAGAAUAGUCGGAAAAGCAGGAAGUAAACUCUACCGCUAUCAAUCACUAUACUAUCAUGCUCUACACUAACCAACUGUAGGAAAUGUCAAAUCUGACCCAAUCCAAUCGGGACUGUAAGCCUACCCGUCCCUGGGACUGUGAAUACACCCGUCCCUGCCCAGUUGCGACUAUCCAGCUCCAUCCACACUAACUGAUCCGUGGAGAGCAAGUCCAACCGGCAUGAGCGACACCAACGCGAAGCACAAAGCCCGUCUCCGGAGUGGCACUCGUGGGCAUGGACGAAGCUAUGUGGAGGCCCAAGGUGGCCAUGGCCCCCCUCAACUUUUCAAUAUUUGCUUAAUGGUCCUUCAAUUUUUUUUUUUUUUUUGUGUAUCAUGGAUAGAUUUGGCCCUCCUAGAUUUUCAAUAUUUACUUAAUAGCAUGGUGCCAACAUAACUCUCUCUCUUUCUCCUAAUCGAUAUACUCUUUUUAUGGAUGAAAAUAUAUUAAAAUCUAUUUUUUGUAAUAUAUUUCUCUACUCUAAAAAUUUUAUUUAAUAAUUUUUUAAAACUUUUAUUUAUCUUAGAUGAGCUCUUUUAUUUGACUAAAUCAAGAAUUGCACUAAAUUUAAUAGCUAUGUUAAUUUUAUUUACUAAAAAGCUAAAAAAUUACUAUUAGAUUUAGUAAAAUUUCUAAGUUAUUUUAAUGUAAUGAUAUAAAUAAAAUAAUUAGAAGUUAAACAUCUGAAAAUAAAAAAAAAUAAAGUUCAUACUUUUACAUUAUUUAUUUAAUUAAUAAUUUUUUAAUAAAAGUUUUUUAAUUAGGAAAAAUUUUGUUUAUUAUUUAUUACUAAAAUUUUUAUUUAAAUAUAUUUUGGCCCCCCUCAAGAUUGAAUCCUAGCUUCGUCCCUGCUCGUGGGAGCUACCCAACCGAGUAUGCACCGUAUCUCUGUCGAGCUCAAUCAGGCUCUCAAAAGCCAAAGUCCAGUAACCGACUCAAACUGGUCUAACAACCAACAGGUAACGUGCCCUCGGCACAAUCCGACGCCAAAAAAGUGAUACGGGUCCACCGUCAACCCCGACGGCACCCAACAGUCCGGAACAGCCUGAACGCUACUGUAAAAGUAUACUCGGCAUCCCGGCACAAGCGUAACCGAAAGCUAAACUAUCUGGAAUACUCACUAUGAGGAUACUGCUACAGUAUAAAAUAAUACAACGGCCCCUAUGGCUAAAUCAGGUAGUUUAAAUAUAUGACGAUCAUAAUCGCGAGUUUUCUCCUAAGUCUUAUCCAAGUCCAACAUGUAUAUAUAUAUAUAUAUAUAUAUCCAAAGAUAAUAACUCAGCUCCAAUUCAGAUUAUUAACCAUACUAAAUCAAUAAACCGAGCAAUUGCGCCACACAAGAUAAUUCCACAAUUACAUGUCGACUAUAUAGGCACUUAGGAGUAAACCGAUGAUUAACCCACCUUAAUCGCAAAUCCCCGACGGUGAAGAAGGUCACCGGAGUCCCUGUCAAGCUCGGCGCAGCUCCCCGAACCAGCGACAACACGCUCCAUGGGUCUAAACAUAGAAACCCAUAUUAAGCAUCAAUUCUGCCCAAAACAGCAGCAGCAGAAAGAAAUAGGGAUACGACCUAACAAACCUUCACCAAAUCCAGCAAAUAAGGGCUUCGUGGAUUCCUCUCGAAGUCCCGAAUCCAACGAACCAAGUCCCGUCGAAAUCCGACAUUCCUACGUCGAGUACGAGCCGAAACACUAACGGUCAACGCUGAAAAUCAGUAAAAUCAGCACGCGAGCUCAAAACCGUGCGUUCAAGUAAUCCAAGAAGGAAAGUUAGGUACCCACAUCGACAGCGAAUCCAGCGCCGGUGCGACGUCGAGGACGGCGAAAAUGCACCCUCGCCCAGCCUCCAUGCGACGUUACGGCGACAAACGUGCGCUCAAACGGCUCGGCGAUGCGACGUCGGCAACGAACGCUCCACCCAAGUUCCUCCUCCUCGCGUAUGGCUCCAGAGACAGAGAGGGAGGAAAUUUUAAUUAAGGAGGCAUG
rnacentral:lncRNA from 1 species